rnacentral:misc_RNA from 1 species
GCGCUCCGCCGCUUCCGCCCUCGCCUAUUACAACCGCA